AUAUCUUGCAUUUUCUUUUGAAUUGAGGAUGUCGACUUGUUUUUACAAAGUUAAUGACAAAUAAUUUUUUUAAGAAGAUGGUUUUGAUUGUUGUUUUGAUUCAGGAAUUAGUCAAGAUGACACCGGUUUGUCCUUUUGCCAAAGCACGUCCAGAUGAUGCCUCUCCUAGAAAACCUGGUGAAAACUCGAAUAAAUACCCGGCAGAGUGUCCUUUUUCCAAAGCACGUCCAGAUGAUGCUGCUUCAAGAAAAGCAGUUGAAAACUCAGCUAAACCCCAGGCAGAGCAUGAUGGUGACAAAGCAAAGAGUGAUUCUAUAGACUCUGCCAGCAUUCCUCCAAAAUGUCCGUUUGGCUAUGAUGCUCAAUCGUUUAAGAUUGGUCCCCUGAGUUGCAUGAUUUGCCAAGCACUUCUCUUUGAAUGUAG
rnacentral:lncRNA from 1 species